GUCUUUUUGGAGAUAUCCAAUAAAAUUGGAACGAUAUAGAAAAGACUAGCAUAACCCUGCACAAAGAUGACACGUACAAAUUGAGAAAUGAUCCAAAUUCUA